GAAAGUGGAAUAAAAACUUGUCUGCAGAACUUGAAGUUGUGUUGCGUGUUAAUCCCGACGUCCCUCGCUCAGAAGAACGACAGUUACCGUGCUGGCGCGGCAAAGAAAAAUUAAGGUUUUCAGGUAAAAUUUGGCCUGCUGGUAACCUUAUGACUGUUAUAAGUUUGAGAAAAAUGUCCCAGUCUCUUCUACAUGUAUACUGAUGCUACGUGUGUCUCAGGAAGACAAUCACCAGGACCUGGAGACACUGCUAUUCCUGAUGAAGUGAAGAUGAUGCUCUACUAUUAUUGGCUGUCAUCAUGAUGCUGAGUUUGUGAUAAAAGCAGAAGUCAUAACAUAAAGGAAAAACCUAUUUCAUUUUUUCCAAUGUAAAAUCAUGCCUAUCAAUAAAAAUAUAUGAAUUAAUAUGAUAAA